CGCGUAGGCGGCCCGCUAAGUCGAACGUGAAAUCCCCGGGCUUAACCCGGGAACUGCGUCCGAUACUGGUGGGCUUGAAUCCGGGAGAGGGAUGCGGAAUUCCAGGUGUAGCGGUGAAAUGCGUAGAUAUCUGGAGGAACACCGGUGGCGAAGGCGGCAUCCUGGACCGGUAUUGACGCUGAGGCGCGAAAGCUAGGGGAGCAAACG
rnacentral:rRNA from 1 species